CGGGCUGUAGCGCAGGGGCUAGCGCGCUCGGUUCGGGACCGAGAAGUCGGCGGUUCAAAUCCGCCCAGCCCGACUA
rnacentral:tRNA from 1 species